rnacentral:misc_RNA from 1 species
CCUUGUUCAACUUCCCAUAUUCACACACACACAAUCCUUUUUUCUAUUUCUAUUUUCUCUCGAUUCUUGAUUUUUCAUGGCUUCUUUUAAUUCCGGUGACCGGAUCAAAGGCUCUUGGAGCCCCCAAGAAGAUGCUAAUCUAAUCAAGCUUGUUCAGCAGCAUGGACCUAGAAAUUGGUCCCUCAUUAGCACUGGUAUCCCUGGUCGUUCUGGAAAAUCUUGCAGGCUUCGCUGGUGUAACCAGCUCUCCCCGGAGGUUCAGCAUCGCCCUUUUACUCCGGCUGAGGAUGCUAUUAUUGUUCAGGCUCAUGCCGUUCAUGGUAAUAAAUGGGCUACCAUUGCUAGACUUUUGCCUGGUCGUACUGAUAAUGCCAUAAAAAAUCAUUGGAACUCAACUUUACGUCGUAAACGCGCUGCCGAUUUGUCUUCCGCUUCGUCUGAGUCAAACUCGGUGAUUAAACGCCCGUGUGUGGAUGUUUCGACUGAGUCGGGAUCGGGGUCUGAUUCUGGAAUUAAGAGGCAAUAUUUGGGUGCAUCUCCAGAGCAUAGUAGUUUUAAUAGGGAUGCGGGGAUUGUGGGGCCUGAGACUUCGUUGACUUUAUCUCCGCCAGGGG